rnacentral:tRNA from 1 species
GAAAGAAUGGCUGAUAAUAGGCGAUAGAUUGUAAAUCUAUUUAUGGGGCUUAGCCCCUUCUUUCA